UUGAACUUUCUCGUUUGGUGAGAACGACUUGAUGACCUUCUUUCUGUGGCUUCCUGGUUUUGUUUCCCUCCCCAACUUUUAUCUGCCCCUGUUGUCUCUGGAUCGUCCAGUUCUGAACUGCCUGUGCACGUGCGUUCGCAGCAGCUCUUUGUAGGUCAACAUGCAACUCAAGCUUCUAGAAGGCAAGGCUGCUCACUCUUCAUUACCUACUGACUGGUGGGAAGAAACAGAUGAUCUCAAGUAGACACCAAGUGGUCAACCACUUGAUACCGGGUUGUUGUAGACGGACAGGAAGACAGCACUCUCAUUGUCCCAGCAAGUCACUGCACCUGUUCAAAACUCUCCUUUUAUUCUUUGGCAAAGGAACUGGAUAGAGAGAGACAAACUUACUGCUUAUUUUCCCUAGCAUUUCUCAAGGUAUUUAAGUACACGACUUUGACUGAAAAAUUAAAAAAAAAAAUGAUUCUUA